CACUGUAAUUCCAUUUUUCAUAGACCGGAAAUGAGCUAGCUGCAUUUCCAUGAACGUGGAAGCUGACGUGCAAAGAGCCCAUUCUGCGGAAAACGGUGAAGGGGAACACCAGCAAACCACGAGCAGGAUCUAACGCACAGCACUAACAAUCGUAGAUAUAUAGUACAUAGAUUUGUAUACAUUUGGAGGAAGAACUGUGCAUGUUUCUUAUCGAUACCUAACUGAUGGUCACAAAGCUCAUCCGUCUCUCACCGCGGUAGGACAAACGUCUGCGGGAUGAUGUCAUUCAUGAGGACAUCAAACAGAGACGAGAUCUGCAGUCAACAGCUGGUGUUUAAUUCAUCGGGAGCCUUGCUGGCUCGAACAGAAGGAUGUCUUCACCAAGCCAAUAAGCCUGAAACUGUACGCCGUCAAGGACUGGCACACAACCGGAGAGAUAACGUUGCAGCGGUAACAUCUCCUUCAGAGUUUUAUCUCAUCUUCAUAGUACGGGGUCGGGCAGCCCAGGGAUUGCCAAAUGUUAAAAUAAAAGUCCUGCUGAAGUCA